UAUUCCCUGCUGUGCGCGUUAGGGUGCAUACAUAUAGAACCAAUACUCUAUAAAGGGCGCUAAACUUCUCUGGUAUCCGUGGAUAGCUGAGAGAGGUGCCCACGUGGUGACAACGGUUCACCAUAUUGUGUAUCCGACGGCAUAAGCGGGGAAUUU
rnacentral:other from 1 species